AUUGAACGCUGGCGGCAGGCCUAACACAUGCAAGUCGAACGAGUGGCGGACGGGUGAGUAAUGUCUGGGGAUCUGCCCGAUGGAGGGGGAUAACUACUGGAAACGGUAGCUAAUACCGCAUACCAUCGGAUGUGCCCAGAUGGGAUUAGCUUGUAGGUGAGGUAAAGGCUCACCUAGGCGACGAUCCCUAGCUGGUCUGAGAGGAUGACCAGCCACACGGGAACUGAGACACGGGCCAGACUCCUACGGGAGGCAGCAGUGGGGAAUAUUGCACAAUGGGCGCAAGCCUGAUGCAGCCAUGCCGCGUGUAUGAAGAAGGCCCUCGGGUUGUAAAGUACUUUCAGCGGGGAGGCGUUACCCGCAGAAGAAGCACCGGCUAACUCCGUGCCAGCAGCCGCGGUAAUAC
rnacentral:rRNA from 1 species